CGUAGGCAGCGAGCGUUGUUCGGAGUUACUGGGCGUAAAGAGUGCGUAGGCGGUUUUCUAAGUUUGGUGUGAAAUCUCCCGGCUUAACUGGGAGGGUGCGCCGAAGACUGGAAGGCUUGAGUAUGGGAGAGGUAAGCGGAAUUCCUGGUGUAGCGGUGAAAUGCGUAGAUAUCAGGAGGAACACCUGCGGUGUAGACGGCUUACUGGACCAUCACUGACGCUGAGGCACGAAAGCGUGGGUAGCAAACAGGAUUAGAUACCCUGGUAGUCCACGCCCUAAACGAUGCAUACUUGGUGUGGGUAGUUCAUUCUAUCCGUGCCGGAGCUAACGCGUUAAGUAUGCCGCCUGGGGAGUACGGUCGCAAGGCUG
rnacentral:rRNA from 1 species